rnacentral:rRNA from 1 species
UAGGGAAUCUUCGGCAAUGGACGGAAGUCUGACCGAGCAACGCCGCGUGAGUGAAGAAGGUUUUCGGAUCGUAAAGCUCUGUUGUAAGAGAAGAACGAGUGUGAGAGUGGAAAGUUCACACUGUGACGGUAUCUUACCAGAAAGGGACGGCUAACUACGUGCCAGCAGCCGCGGUAAUACGUAGGUCCCGAGCGUUGUCCGGAUUUAUUGGGCGUAAAGCGAGCGCAGGCGGUUAGAUAAGUCUGAAGUUAAAGGCUGUGGCUUAACCAUAGUAGGCUUUGGAAACUGUUUAACUUGAGUGCAAGAGGGGAGAGUGGAAUUCCAUGUGUAGCGGUGAAAUGCGUAGAUAUAUGGAGGAACACCGGUGGCGAAAGCGGCUCUCUGGCUUGUAACUGACGCUGAGGCUCGAAAGCGUGGGGAGCAAACAGGGUUAGAUACCCUGGUAGUCCACGCUGUAAACGAUGAGUGCUAGGUGUUAGACCCUUUCCGGGGUUUAGUGCCGUAGCUAACGCAUUAAGCACUCCGCCUGGGGAGUACGACCGCAAGGUUG